AGGAGGGCGCUUGACCUCCUUCACCCUCUUCUAGAGAUCUAUAGGGAUUCAGGGAUAUACGAUCUCCCUAGGUAACACAAUCUAUCUCACACAUGGUUUUCUGUUUCGCGAAUUUUGUGCACCAAUCUUCGCACGAUGAUAAAUAUAUCUUUGGGAAUUGAGGAUUUUAUUUUUUGUUCUUUCGCUAUGCAUGUGAUGU
rnacentral:lncRNA from 1 species